rnacentral:tRNA from 1 species
GGAGGGAUCGCAUAGAGGUCUAGUGCGCCCGCCUGCUAAGCGGGUUGGGGGUGUAGAGCCCCCUCGUGGGUUCGAAUCCCACUCCCUCCGCCA